GGGUGCCGGGUGGGGGGAGGUCUCAUACUUCAUUUCAGAGUUUAGAGGAAAUGUGAAGCGUGCGGAUGACAAGAUGCCAGUUUCCCCGGAAAGGAAACAAAACUCCCUCGACCCUCCUCUCGCCCUUCCUGGGAAGAGCUCCUAAGAGUUGGUUUCCUGUUUCAGGACUAAUACCGCCGUGUGGCAUAUCUUGAACAGGUCUCUGUCACCUCAGAGGUGUUUCUCUCUCUCCUUCUUUUCUCUCUGUAUCUUUCCCUCUCUGUCUCUAUGCCUCUCUCUCUCUCACUCUCUCUCUCUCUGCAUCCCUCCCUCCCUCCCUCCCUCCCUCCUAUCCCACCCCUCAUCCCCCGAAAAACACCUUGGCUUCCUGCCAAGGCAAACACACGGCCGAGGGGGCGGCAGGGCUCCCGUUCCCAUGGCGACGGCGGCGCGGGGGCGCGGCGCUGGCCCCGGCGAUUCGGAUCGGCGGGCCGAACAAAGAGCCCGAUUCAGGGGCAGGAGCCGCGGUCCUUUUCAGGGCCCGAACGCCGUGUCCAGGCGCGCGGUCGGAGAACCCAGAAAACCGCAAGGACUUAUCGCGGCCAAUCAAUUCGUCCCUCGCUUGCUUGCUCGCUGACACACAGGACCACUGUGCUACAGGCUGAUUCAGUGAUGUGUCUCCACUUCUCCUCAUCCUCACGCAGUUGCCUGAACCGUAACACGGCGUUGCUGGACUUUUCUGCAACGCACUGGCUUCAUGCCUCGCACCAGGAUCACUGUCAGUGGGUGGGGAAAGGAUUGACCACCUAAACCAAUUAUUUUUAAUUUAGUUUGUUGUUUUAUUUAUUUUAUUGAACACCCUGAAUUCAAUUUUAUUAUAUAUGACUCUCUAUAUAUGACUAUAUGACUGUGAGAUCUAUUUUUCAGGUUUGAUGGAAAAAAUGAUUUUUCACAAUAAAUGACUCAAAACA